UGAAUCUCAACCACUGCGGUCUUUCCGACAAUAGUUCGUUGCGAUUCUCGCGCUCCCGCAGUCUCUCGUACUCUGUGCUCCCGACUUGGCCGGUAAUUUAUUACUGCCCGUCGCUUCGCAGCCGGUGCCGAUAGACUCUUUCUUUACGAUCCGUUUACCAUCGCGGUUAUUCCGCACUUGCCGCAUUCGUUCGGCGGAUUAUCGAGUAUCAAAAAUAAUUUUUAAACAAAAAAAAAAAAAUUUUUUUUCGAACAAUUUCGAUUUGAACGGCCGACUCCCGAAGAGGAUACUCUCUUCCGGCGGCGCUCGCCCGCUGUUUUAUAUAAUAUCUAAUAUUAUAUAAAACAGAAAUAUAAAAAACAUCCAGUCAGUCGAUUUAUUCCGAAAUUUCCGACGGUGAGUGACCGUAACAUUAUUUUUUUUUAAACAGCCAUCCGACACUUUAUGUGUAUAUCAAAUUCGAACUGUCGAUUUUCUAGAAUUCCCGGACCGCAGAUUCCAAGACGAACGUUCCGUCGCGACCCGUGCAGACUCACAGCCGCUGCCCGCGCCCACUCGCAAAUCGAAGACUUCGCCGACCGAAGUUGAAGCAGCCGCGGCCGAUCCGACAGACAGGGACGGACGACCAUCGACACUUGGCUUAGGUAAUAUGAACGAUUUAAAUACUUUUGACCGGUCAAAAUUCGUUACAAAAACCUAAAUACUUCGUUUCAGGUGUACGCGCAAAAAAAAAAAAUGUAUUUCUUCAUAAUUUCCGUCACUGUUGUUAUUUUAUUGUUAUUUUUUUUUUUAAUAUUCUCUCUCUUUUCUAACUAUAUGGUAAUUUAUUAACGCUUAUGAAACAAAUACUUUAUUUUUUUCUUUUCUUUUUUUUUUAUCGUCUCGUUUAUAUUUUCCGUAAUAUUAUUUUAAUAUGUAUAAUAAGCGCUAUAUUUCGAUUGAUUCUGAGCGACCGGAAAGAACCCAAAUUCGAAUAUUGUUACGUUUCCGGUAAAGACGAAAAAAAAAAUCCACAAGUCCGUAUUGAAAUCGAUUCGACAGAACAAUAAUAAUAAUAAAUAAAAAAAAAUCCCCGAUUAACGAUAAACAAAAGUUUUCGCACGGAAUUGUCUGCGUUUAAAUUGCGUUUUGUGCUUUUAUUGUUAUACUUUUAAAUAAUUUGUUUUCAGGUGUUAAUAAAUUAUUAGUGUUAAGAAAAAUAAAAAAAAAAUUACAUGUGUACCCGUAUUGUAAUAAUAUCAUGUAUUUUCUGGUGCUGAACCGGUUAGAGAAGGUCAAAAGUUUUAGGUCCCAACUGAUCCCGACUUUUUCGUUUUUCAAACUGCGCUUGUCGUAUAUAUUCCACGCGCGCGUGUACGUCGAAUUGUCGAGAAGAAACAUUUACCGUUUCAAACUCGUCGGCGAAUAUUUUUUCUCGGUUAUCUUGGCGUACAAAAGGAUUCCGAUUUUCGCCGUUGUCGGCCAGUCACUCGGGGUACCCCUCUUCAAGACAUAACUUCAAAUUCGACGAUAAGUCACUCGCGCAAACGGAAAACGCGAAAAGUCCACGUAAAUUUCGGUAAAACGCGGCGAUAUUUUUCAUUCGCUUCCCCCCUCCCCACUCUCCGUACACGCGCAUUUUCGCACCUAUUCGCACAUCCAUACGAUACGUGAAACGCGUUUUAACGAUUUUGACCGGGAACUAUGCGCAAUAAUCCAGUGUUGCGUGCAUACGCAAAUGUCGGGCGUUUUUACGUCUGAUCUUUUACGCGACUUAAUCAUAAAGAGUUAAUGCGCCCUAAGCUAUAUUAUAAUAAAAUUGCGUUUUUAUCAUUAUUAUUGUUAUUUAAAUCUUUUUUUAUGAUGCUAUUUUUUAUGUGUACUAUAUAACUAUAUUUUUUCUUCCCAGUAGGUAGUGACGAAACCUAAAAAAAAAAAAAAAAAAAAAGUCUAAACUAAACUAAAUACUACAAACGAAAAGUAUUUGAUUUCAUCGUAUACACAGUUCGAAAAUAUUAUAUAGAAGACAGACUCAAACAUUAAUCCCGGGUUUAAAUUUUUUAUUUUUUUUUUAAUUUUCAUUAUUGCUAUUAUUAUUGAUAUUUUUAUUAUUAUUCGUAUUUUUCGGGCACUGCGUGAUUACAUACUUUCGUGAUUUUUGCAAUUGCCUGAUGGAAGUUUCCUAUUGGUUAAUUGCGUAUCUUUACUGUCUGGGUCAUUUCACGCAUUUCGUUUGCAUAAACUAUUAUCGUUUUCUUCGAAAUAUUUUCGAUCAGUGAGCUGUACCAAACAGAUAACGAUAACAGUACCUUUAAACCAAUACUCCAUCGAGAAUAAUACGAUUAUAAUCGUUUUGAAAAAAAAAUAAACAAUAAUCACACACAACUGCGUGCUGUAUUUUUGAAAUCUAAAAAGAAUGAUUAGGUUUCUUUGUGCUAGUCUCGCAGUAUUUGUAAUUUUCACCCUCGAGCAUUGUAUAAAUUUUUUUUUUUACGUGUUCUCUUACCGGAAACACAUACCGAAGAUCAAUGCACCGUCACUAUUGUCUAUGUUUGAGAAGUAUUUGGUUAUGGUGCGUUUUAAAUAUCGUGUUCCGAAAAUCGAAGUACGAGAUAAUUCGAAGCUAAUUCGGUAGAAAUUCGAUCUUACUGGCCGUUUGGGACUACGCUUUAAAAGUCUCAAUUUAAUACGUGAAUUAAUAUAUACGUGAAAACGUGUAUAAAAAUAUUGCACUCACGUAUACAUAAUACACGUGCAUUUCUAUCCGUGUUCACGUGUUUUAGUGUUAUUCACGAAUUCGCGUUUUCGCCGUUUCGCAUAUUCACGUUUUAAAAUAUUCACAUAGUCACGUAUUUACGUGUUCAGGUUUUCACGUAUUUGGUUAUACCGUUUACACUAUUCGUUCGUAAUGAAGUUUUCGGUUAAAAUAUGAAAUUAUCAUAAAUGAUUACAUGUUUUAAUGUUAUUCACGUAUUCACGUGUACACAUGUUCACGGAUUAACGUAUUCAAGUGGAUUAUUGUUAUUUACAUAUUCACGUAUUAACUUGUUCACGUAUUAACGUGUUCACGUAUUCACGUAUUCACGUGUUUUAGUGUUUUUCGCGCAUUCUCGUGUCAACGUGUUAACGUGUUAACGUGUUCACGUGGUCACGUGUUUUUAAGUACACGUUUUCAAAUAACGAUAGAUCACAAAAAAAAAAAUAAACGUUAUUACGUUAAAUUUAUACUUUUUUCCAUAAAACUAUAAGUUAUAUAAUUUUCAUAUCCAAACUUUUUCAGUCUAUUUUCUCUCAUUUUGUCUACUAUCAAAAACCAUGUAUUGGCUAUAUUUUAUCUACUCUUUCUUUAUCAUAUUAUUUCUUGUCACUUCAUUCAUCCACCUAAGCAUUCUCGUCACUGCUAUAAACUCAUUCUUUAUUCUAUUUUUCUGUAUACCGCCCAACAAUUUAAACAGUCUAAACGAGACAUUAUCUCAACAAGUUCUUCUAGAACUUACUCUUUAGUUUCAUUGAAUUUGCUUGUUACAUAAAACAUCUGCCACUUCUUUCCAUUUUUUCCAACCACAAUUAAUCCUAUGUUUCGUAACCACAUAAAAGCCACCGUUAUGGUGUACCAAAGAGCCUGGGUACUUACAACUCUCAACCUCGCUUAUUAUGUCACCGUUUAUUGUCGUUGGCUGUCUUUUCUUGUUUCUCAAAACCCAUAUUCUGUUUUACUACUAAUCCUUUUAAGUGCUACUCUCCAUUUCUCAAGCCUAUUGUUAACUUAUUCCAGAUUUUCUCCUAUCAAAUCUAUACCAUACAAAAAUCAUUCACCAUAGUAUCUCCUCUCACCCGUUUACCCCGUACACAUCCGACAAUGUCCCAUCAUAGGUAUUGUUUAGAACUCAUCGUACUAUUCGACAGAAUUUUACAUAUAAAAAAAAUAUACACCUACGGGUGUUACCAAGUACUUAACACAUUGCAGUAUCUAUUGCUCAUAAGCGCAAACCCGUCCGUGUUCCUUUUACGUUUUCUUUCCGAUUUCUCCCCCAAAUAAGGUCCAAAGUUGAACAAAAAAAAAAAAAAUGGGUCUUUCGUCUUGUUUUGAAAAUAGUUUUGGCACGCUAGAGUUCAUAGAUUUCGGCCUAUCUCACUGUACGUCGUCUAAACGCACGUGUAUGUGUAAUUUUUAUGUCAUAUUUAUUAUAUCUCGUUUUUUAAAUUCUCGUAUUAUUCUUACGGAGUAUUUAUUUAUUCAUAUUUCGUUCAAAAAAAAUUUAUUACAAUACGCUUAUAGGAAAUUUUUCAGGCAUUCAAAUAUUAACAAUAAUAAUAAAAAAAAAAAAAAAAAAACAAAAAAAAAAUAAUAGUAAUAAUAAUAAUAAUAACAAUAAUCAUAGUAAUAAGGGCAUUGCUAACAAUAUUAUUAUAUUAGUGUCCGUAUAAGUGUUUUGCUUGUUUGUUUGUUUGUAUAAGGUAUUUUAUUCGAUUUAUAUAUUAUUAAUUAAUGCGUUUGAGAUAAAUUGGUUUAUUUUAGUCAUUUUUUUCUCGCGGGAAUUUUGUAGACAGAAAUUAAACAGGUAGUCCCACGUUUUAUAAUUAUAAUAUAAUAUAAGACUACAUUAAAAAUAUUUACAAAUUUAUCAGCUAUGUUCAUAAUUAUUACUAUUUUAUUUUUUCAUUAAAAACGAAUAGCUAAAAACAAUGAUUAUUUAAAAAUAGAAAAACAAUUAACAGUAUUUAUUGAAAUUUCGCUUAAAUUAUGAAAAAAAUGUAGAUAUUAUUCGUGUUUAUCUUAAAAUUUUGUUUCGCUGAAAAAAAAAAUGUCGAUUUUUAUGUACUUUUAUUUACAAAAUGUAUAAUAAUAAUAAUAAUAAUAAUAACACCUAACAGUUAUGAUAUUGUAUAAUAUAAUAUUUGAUUUAUAAUAAUCAUUUAUAAUUUACGAUUAUAAUGUUCUAUUAUAUUAUCGACACGAUUUUCACCAUAUUAUGUAAAAUGAUAUUAUUUGGGAUCAUACUUACCCGACAAUUUUCACUUGUUUUAUUAUUUAUAUAUGCACACAUUAUAGUAUUUAUUAUGUUUAAAAAUCAAUUUAAAUAAAACGCAUUAUAGCCAAUUUAAAAAAAAAAAUGUCGUAUGUAUGUUCAGUGUUCAUAUACCUAUACAUAUAUAUAUAUAUAUAUAUAUACAUAUAUAUAUGUAUGUAUACACGUUAUAUUCAAAACAAAGUUUGAUUGAAUAGGUGUCAGGUGUCAGGCUCGGGAUAUGAUUAUCGUAACCUAUAAUGUGAUGUCUCUCUUUAAGAAAAAAAAAAUAUACAUAAUAAACAUGGUUAAACACCAAACCAAGAAAAAUAUUUGCUAAUAUUCGCUAUUAAUAUAUUCGUGUAUUGUCCUCAAAUAAAUCAAUAGUAUUGCGAUGCAAAGCGAUAAUAUCGAUAUUACCGACAGUAUAAACGGUCACCCGAUUAUAGUUCAUGCGGUGUUGCGCCGAUCGCGUUGUUGGACCGGCGGUAACGUGACGGCAGCAGAGAAAGACGCCACCUCAAUCCGAAACAGGUCGAUAAAAAACAUUGACGGUGUACAAUUGUUAUAGCGUCGCGCCGUCCACGCUGCGCGCGUUUCGCGGACACGCGUUAUAACGGGCCGGAAUCGGUUAUUCCGCGUUUUUCGCGACUGUUCGCGAAAUUCGAAAACGAAUUUGAUUGCAUUUUAAUAGCCACCUAAUGACGUACGACUCUACCGCUUGUCUAUCGCCGGAUACCGCAUUGAUGGGGAACGGCGGCUUGUGCCCGAUGUUUGCGAGAAGAGGUACGGGGAAACGGUACAAAAGACCGGGGGCGGAAACCCCUCCAAAGAACAAAUUCUCACUAUUCUUUCACGGCCUUCCGAUUUUUAAGCGCGGCACAUUUUCUGAAAGGAAAUCGGUGGGAUGGGAAACUUUAAGGCUUUGAGGUGGUCAUUUUCUCAAGAUUCUUCUGAUAAAAAUGUGAAAAACCAAAAAAAAAAAAAAAAACUGAGGAAAAACGGGAAAAU